rnacentral:misc_RNA from 1 species
UUUCCGUAGGUGAACCUGCGGAAGGAUCAUUAAUGAGUUGUCAUGGGGUUCGAUGCUGGCAGCCAGUUUUUGGAUGCAUGUGCUUGCCCUAACAAUCAUCUUCUUCCAAACACCUGUGCACAUUUUUGAGGGAGUCUUGAGUUGGUUGCCGCUCUUGGGUGAUUUUCUCACAUUCCCUUAAAUCAUUAUACGCUAUUAACAAUGUUGAACGUGCUCUGUGCCGCAAGGCCAUAAUAUAAUACAACUUUUAACAACGGAUCUCUUGGCUCUC